UACGUAGGGUGCGAGCGUUGUCCGGAAUUACUGGGCGUAAAGCGCGCGUAGGCGGACCUGCAAGUCGGGGGUGAAAGCCCGAGGCUCAACCUCGGAACUGCCUUCGAUACUGCGGGUCUCGAGUCCGGGAGAGGUGAGUGGAAUUCCUAGUGUAGAGGUGAAAUUCGUAGAUAUUAGGAAGAACACCAGUGGCGAAGGCGGCUCACUGGCCCGGUACUGACGCUGAGGCGCGAAAGCGUGGGGAGCAAACGGG
rnacentral:rRNA from 1 species